rnacentral:rRNA from 1 species
GACGAACGCUGGCGGCGUGCUUAACACAUGCAAGUCGAACGGAAAGGCCCUGCUUUUGUGGGGUGCUCGAGUGGCGAACGGGUGAGUAACACGUGAGUAACCUGCCCUUGACUUUGGGAUAACUUCAGGAAACUGGGGCUAAUACCGGAUAGGAGCUCCUGCUGCAUGGUGGGGGUUGGAAAGUUUCGGCGGUUGGGGAUGGACUCGCGGCUUAUCAGCUUGUUGGUGGGGUAGUGGCUUACCAAGGAUUUGACGGGUAGCCGGCAUGAGAGGGUGACCGGAAAAAUUGGGACGGAGAUACGGACCAGACUCCUACGGGAGGCAGCAGUGGGGAAUAUUGCACAAUGGGCGGAAGCCUGAUGCAGCAACGCCGCGUGCGGGAUGACGGCCUUCGGGUUGUAAACAGAUUUCGCCUGUGACGAAGCGUGAGUGACGGUAAUGGGUAAAGAAGCACCGGCUAACUACGUG